rnacentral:rRNA from 1 species
CUGGCUCAGGAUGAACGCUAGCGACAGGCUUAACACAUGCAAGUCGAGGGGCAGCAUAAAAGUAGCAAUACUUGGUGGCGACCGGCGCACGGGUGAGUAACGCGUAUGCAACCUACCUAUCAGAGGGGAAUAACCCGGCGAAAGUCGGACUAAUACCGCAUAAAACAGGGGCACCGCAUGGUGAUAUUUGUUAAAGAAAUUCGCUGAUAGAUGGGCAUGCGUUCCAUUAGGUAGUUGGUGAGGUAACGGCUCACCAAGCCGACGAUGGAUAGGGAACUGAGAGGUUGGUCCCCCACACUGGUACUGAGACACGGACCAGACUCCUACGGGAGGCAGCAGUGAGGAAUAUUGGUCAAUGGGCGGGAGCCUGAACCAGCCAAGUCGCGUGAAGGAAGAAGGAUCUAUGGUUCGUAAACUUCUUUUGCAGGGGAAUAAAGUGCAAGACGUGUCCUGUUUUGUAUGUACCCUGAGAAUAAGGAUCGGCUAACUCCGUGCCAGCAGCGGC